rnacentral:rRNA from 1 species
AUGUACAUUCCUACAUCAUAGUGUUAAUGCACUGAACCCCAUUAGAACUCUUCAUUUAAGCAUGCUCAUGCUAGAGUAGUAUUGGGAUGGGUGGCCACCUGGGAAGUCCUAGUGUUUUACAUG